rnacentral:rRNA from 1 species
CAGUCGAGCGGACUUUUAAAGCUUGCUUUUGAAAGGUCAGCGGCGGACGGGUGAGUAACACGUGGGCAACCUGCCUGUAAGACUGGGAUAACUUCGGGAAACCGGAGCUAAUACCGGAUAAUAUAAAGAACCUCCUGGUUCUUUAUUGAAAGAUGGUUUCGGCUAUCACUUACAGAUGGGCCCGCGGCGCAUUAGCUAGUUGGUGAGGUAAUGGCUCACCAAGGCGACGAUGCGUAGCCGACCUGAGAGGGUGAUCGGCCACACUGGGACUGAGACACGGCCCAGACUCCUACGGGAGGCAGCAGUAGGGAAUCUUCCACAAUGGACGAAAGUCUGAUGGAGCAACGCCGCGUGAGCGAUGAAGGCCUUCGGGUCGUAAAGCUCUGUUGUUAGGGAAGAACAAGUGCGAGAGUAACUGCUCGCACCUUGACGGUACCUAACCAGAAAGCCACGGCUAACUACGUGCCAGCAGCCGCGGUAAUACGUAUGUGGCAAGCGUUGUCCGGAAUUAUUGGGCGUAAAGCGCGCGCAGGUGGUCCUUUAAGUCUGAUGUGAAAGCCCACGGCUC